AGGGAUCUCAUCAAAGUUUGCUUGUGUUCUGUCUCCGCGACCUUUGACAUCUACUGGUAGAUCCCACCUCCCACGUGGAGUUUUACAUCUUCUGGGCUCUUCAAUGUUCAUCAAAAGCCUCAUUCAGGUUGCUGCAGAAACACUCCUGAGUCAUGACGGAUCACAACACAGCAGUGUUGGGACACGACUCACCGGCAAGUCCAGUCUCAUCGUUUCAGGCUUGCUCUCCCACGUUUAGAAGCUGUGAAACAAAGCAAGCGCACUACUGCCGUGCUGUCAGUCAUCUGCUAUUGCGUAACUGAGUGCUGAACUGGAGCCGUGUCUCCAAAAAUGGAAACAGCAAAUGAGUCUGAAGCGGGAGCUCCACUGUCCCUCGCAGACUUGAGGAAGUGCCACCGUUUGUCUGGUCUUCUACUCGCAGCUUGUAAGCAAGU